AGCUGUCACGACUAGAAAUUACGUCAUCAAAAUGAGCCGAAAACCGCGGACCUUUCGUCAUUUCCUUUUUCUUUAGCGAUCGGGGAAAGUAUCCUGUUAAAAUGGUGCCUCCUGUGCAGGUUUCUCCGCUUAUUAAGACCGCAAGGUGGUCGGCGUUGCUUGUUGGAAUCAUCUACGGCAAAAAGAGAUAUGACUACCUGAAACCAAUUGCCGCUGAGGAGAGGAGGAUCGAGGAAGAGGAGAAGAGGAUCCGGGAGGAACAAGAGCGGAUAGCAAAGCAGCUGGCAGAGGCUAAUGAAGACACCAUUCUCAAAUGAGCGCUAAGAUGGAUAAUUUGUUUUGUGUUUGUGUAUGAAAAUAAUCAGUACUUUAUCCUUGCUGUAGUGAAGUUAAUUUCUUUCAAGCUACACAGUCUGUAAAAUAAAAAUGAAAACAAAA